UGUCAAUUUGUCUGUUAUUUAAGUAAUAAAUAAACUUAUAUAAUAUAUAAACUUCAUCUUGUCUCUUAAAAAAUAUCACGAUCAAUUGUAUACAAUUAAUAAUAAUAAUUCUAUCGUUAAUAAAACACAUUUUUCCUUAUUUAUAAAAUAUUUGAUAAACUAAAGGAAAAAAUACAACGGAACUCAAAUGCUUUAACGACAGAAGACCAGAAAUAUGAGUCCGCGGUUGUAAUAGACAUCAGACAAAUUGAAAUCCAUCUAACAAAUCUUGAAAAUACAUAAUCUAUACUAUACUAAUCUAUGCUUUUUUGUAAGGAUCGAGGAACAAAAUACAUUAAAUUACUCAAUUAGAAAAUGUCAGUACCUUUAUUUUAAUAAUUCAAUUCACAGAUUCUUCCAAAGAAGUGGCGUGCUCACGGGGAGGGAUGAGGAUGCCAAACUCCCCCCAUUGUAUUUAAAUAAAUAAAUUAUAAUGUAUAAUAUACGUCACACAUAAUAUAUUAUAUUUACACCUAAUUAUAUUUGAAAUAAUAAAGAAAUACUGUUGAAAAUGAAUAAAAAGCUAAAUAGAUAUGUCAUUCCCUAGAUAAUAUUGUUAUCUUUAAUUUUUAUAAUAGGUUGUGUAAUGCUAUUAUGUUGCCGCAAUAACACAAAAUACUAAAAAUCCUAGAAUAUAUAAUAGAAGCAGUGUUGCCAACAUGUUUAUAGCUGAUGAUGGUACGGAACCCUUCGUCCGCGAGUCCGAAUCGCAUUUGGCUGGUUUUUAUUUACGAAUUUUUCUGAAAUUUAAUAUUUUGACAAAAUCGCGAAAAUUAUCAAAUUAUUUUGUAUUUAAAAAUAUAAUGUUC